rnacentral:rRNA from 1 species
UUAGUGGCGGACGGGUGAGUAACGCGUGGAAAACCUGCCGUAUACUGGGGGAUAACACUUAGAAAUAGGUGCUAAUACCGCAUAAGCGCACAGCUUCGCAUGAAGCGGGGUGAAAAACUCUGGUGGUAUACGAUGGUUCCGCGUCUGAUUAGCUAGUUGGUGGGGUAAUGGCCUACCAAGGCAACGAUCAGUAGCCGGCCUGAGAGGGUGAACGGCCACAUUGGGACUGAGACACGGCCCAAACUCCUACGGGAGGCAGCAG